AUACAUCCAUAGGUAAUGGCUGCAAGUGAGAAUCUACUUUUUGAAACAAGUUGAAAAAAAGCAUUUGUCUACAAAAGAACAUCAGAUACUGCACUUUUUACAAAUUGAAUGUUUGUGGCAAGCCUGCAUCGAGAAAGUCCAUUGAUGCCAUUUUUUUCAAACAAGGGAAGAUAUCAGGAGACAAGGCUGAUGUGUAGCUUCCACUUGGACAGAAAGAACAGCGUGUGGAGACUCACACCAUGGACUUUUACUCCAGAAACAGCAGCAGGAGCAUACCAGGAAGACUGAAAGAAAUAACAGAUCCUUUGAAAGAAGCAGCAGGCCACUGCAAAUGCUGCAAGAUAGGCAAAAAACGGAGUUCACAAAGUGUGAAAGGGGAAUACCUGCCUCUAAACACAUCCCCACUGGGGAACCUGAAAAUCCAGAUUACGGGAGAAGGAUUUAACCUUACCUGGAGCUGCAAUGGAUUUAGUGUGAAAUACAAAAGUAGAAGCAGCAGUGGAAA
rnacentral:lncRNA from 1 species